rnacentral:lncRNA from 1 species
GCCUCCAUAAUCUUGAGAAAAAGCUAUUCAUUGUAUCUUAAUUUUUAUUUUUAUAUCUCUCCUAAAAUUACUCUGAUCUUCGAUGUGGAACAAUCAAUCCAGCUGAAGGUGGUUGGGAUGAUAGAGAAAAAAAAAAAAGAGUUCGAAGCAAAAGGGUUGGAGUCCGAUAAUACUUAUAGGCUGACACUUAGCCAUUAUUUAUUUGAAGUCCGAUGAUGCUUAUA